AGAAACUGGAGCAGCUCAUUUUAGAAGGAAAUAAAAUAUCAGGGAUAUGCUCCCCCUUGAGACUGAAGGAACUGAAGAUUUUAAACCUUAGUAAGAACCACAUUUCAUCCCUAUCAGAGAACUUUCUUGAGGCUUGUCCUAAAGUGGAGAGUUUCAGUGCCAGAAUGAAUUUUCUUGCUGCUAUGCCUUUCUUGCCUCCUUCCAUGACAAUCCUAAAAUUAUCUCAGAACAAAUUUUCAUGUAUUCCAGAAGCAAUUUUAAAUCUUCCACACUUGCGGUCUUUAGAUAUGAGCAGCAAUGAUAUUCAGUAUCUACCAGGUCCUGCACACUGGAAAUCUUUGAACUUAAGGGAACUCUUAUUUAACCAUAAUCAGAUCAGCAUCUUGGACUUGAGUGAAAAAGCAUAUUUAUGGUCUAGAGUAGAGAAACUGCAUCUUUCUCACAAUAAACUGAAAGAGAUUCCUCCUGAGAUUGGCUGUCUUGAAAAUCUGACAUCUCUGGAUGUCAGUUACAACUUGGAACUAAGAUCCUUUCCCAAUGAAAUGGGGAAAUUAAGCAAAAUAUGGGAUCUUCCUUUGGAUGAACUGCGUCUUAACUUUGAUUUUAAACAUAUAGGAUGUAAAGCCAAAGACAUCAUAAGGUUUCUUCAACAGCGGUUAAAAAAGGCUGUGCCUUAUAACCGAAUGAAACUUAUGAUUGUGGGAAAUACUGGGAGUGGUAAAACCACCUUAUUGCAGCAAUUAAUGAAAACCAAGAAAUCAGAUCUUGGAAUGCAAGGUGCCACAGUCGGCAUAGAUGUGAAAGACUGGCCUAUCCAAAUAAGAGGCAAAAGAAAGAGAGAUCUCGUCCUAAAUGUGUGGGAUUUUGCAGGUCGUGAGGAAUUCUACAGUACUCAUCCCCAUUUUAUGACGCAGCGAGCAUUGUACCUUGCUGUCUAUGACCUCAGCAAGGGACAGGCUGAGGUUGAUGCCAUGAAGCCUUGGCUCUUCAAUAUAAAGGCUCGCGCUUCUUCUUCCCCUGUGAUUCUUGUUGGCACACAUUUGGAUGUUUCUGAUGAGAAGCAACGCAAAGCCUGCAUAAGUAAAAUCACCAAGGAACUCCUGAAUAAGCGAGGGUUCCCUGCCAUACGAGAUUACCACUUUGUGAACGCCACCGAGGAAUCUGAUGCUUUGGCAAAACUUCGGAAAACCAUCAUAAACGAGAGCCUUAAUUUCAAGAUCCGAGAUCAGCUUGUUGUUGGACAGCUGAUUCCAGACUGCUAUGUAGAACUUGAGAAAAUCAUUUUAUCGGAGCGUAAAAACGUGCCAGUUGAAUUUCCUGUAAUUGACCAGAAAAGAUUAUUACAACUAGUGAGAGAAAAUCAGCUGCAGUUAGAUGAAAAUGAACUUCCUCACGCAGUUCACUUUCUAAAUGAAUCAGGAGUCCUUCUUCAUUUUCAAGACCCAGCACUGCAGUUAAGUGACUUGUACUUUGUGGAACCCAAGUGGCUUUGUAAAAUCAUGGCACAGAUUUUGACGGUGAAAGUGGAAGGUUGUCCAAAACACCCUAAGGGAAUUAUUUCGCGUAGAGAUGUGGAAAAAUUUCUUUCAAAGAAAAGGAAAUUUCCAAAGAACUACAUGUCACAGUAUUUUAAGCUCCUAGAAAAAUUCCAGAUUGCUUUGCCAAUAGGAGAAGAAUAUUUGCUGGUUCCAAGCAGUUUGUCUGACCACAGGCCUGUGAUAGAGCUUCCCCAUUGUGAGAACUCUGAAAUUAUCAUCCGACUAUAUGAAAUGCCUUAUUUUCCAAUGGGAUUUUGGUCAAGAUUAAUCAAUCGAUUACUUGAGAUUUCACCUUACAUGCUUUCAGGGAGAGAACGAGCACUUCGCCCUAACAGAAUGUAUUGGCGACAAGGCAUUUACUUAAAUUGGUCUCCUGAAGCUUAUUGUCUGGUAGGAUCUGAAGUCUUAGACAAUCAUCCAGAGAGUUUCUUAAAAAUUACAGUUCCUUCUUGUAGAAAAGGCUGUAUUCUUUUGGGCCAAGUCGUGGACCACAUUGAUUCUCUCAUGGAAGAAUGGUUUCCUGGGUUGCUGGAGAUUGAUAUUUGUGGUGAAGGAGAAACUCUGUUGAAGAAAUGGGCAUUAUAUAGUUUUAAUGAUGGCGAAGAACAUCAAAAAAUCUUACUUGAUGACUUGAUGAAGAAAGCAGAGGAAGGAGAUCUCUUAGUAAAUCCAGAUCAACCAAGGCUCACCAUUCCAAUAUCUCAGAUUGCCCCUGACUUGAUUUUGGCUGACCUGCCUAGAAAUAUUAUGUUGAAUAAUGAUGAGUUGGAAUUUGAACAAGCUCCAGAGUUUCUCCUAGGUGAUGGCAGUUUUGGAUCAGUUUAUCGAGCAGCCUAUGAAGGAGAAGAAGUGGCUGUGAAGAUUUUUAAUAAACAUACAUCACUUAGGCUGUUAAGACAAGAGCUGGUGGUGCUUUGCCACCUCCACCACCCCAGUUUGAUAUCUUUGCUGGCAGCUGGGAUUCGUCCCCGGAUGUUGGUGAUGGAGUUAGCCUCCAAGGGUUCCUUGGAUCGCCUGCUUCAGCAGGACAAAGCCAGCCUCACUAGAACCCUACAGCACAGGAUUGCACUCCAUGUAGCUGACGGUUUGAGAUACCUCCACUCAGCCAUGAUUAUAUACCGAGACUUGAAACCCCACAAUGUGCUGCUUUUCACCCUGUAUCCCAAUGCUGCCAUCAUUGCAAAGAUUGCUGACUACGGCAUUGCUCAGUACUGCUGUAGAAUGGGGAUAAAAACAUCAGAGGGCACACCAGGGUUUCGUGCACCUGAAGUUGCCAGAGGAAAUGUCAUUUAUAACCAACAGGCUGAUGUUUAUUCAUUUGGUUUACUACUCUAUGACAUUUUGACAACCGGAGGUAGAAUAGUAGAGGGUUUGAAGUUUCCAAAUGAGUUUGAUGAAUUAGCAAUACAAGGAAAAUUACCUGAUCCAGUUAAAGAAUAUGGUUGUGCCCCAUGGCCUAUGGUUGAGAAAUUAAUUAAAAAGUGUUUGAAAGAAAAUCCUCAAGAAAGGCCUACUUCUGCCCAGGUCUUUGACAUUUUGAAUUCAGCUGAAUUAGUCUGUCUGAUGAGACGCAUUUUAUUACCUAAAAAUGUAAUUGUUGAAUGCAUGGUUGCUACGCAUCACAACAGCAGGAAUGCAAGCAUUUGGCUGGGCUGUGGGCACACCGACAGAGGACAGCUCUCAUUUCUUGACUUAAAUACUGAAGGAUACACUUCUGAGGAAGUUGCUGAUAGUAGAAUAUUGUGCUUAGCCUUGGUGCAUCUUCCUGUUGAAAAGGAAAGCUGGAUUGUGUCUGGGACACAGUCUGGUACUCUCCUGGUCAUCAAUACCGAAGAUGGGAAAAAGAGACAUACCCUGGAAAAGAUGACUGAUUCUGUCACUUGUUUGUAUUGCAAUUCCUUUUCCAAGCAAAGCAAACAAAAAAAUUUUCUUUUGGUUGGAACCGCUGAUGGCAAUUUAGCAAUUUUUGAAGAUAAGACUGUUAAGCUUAAAGGAGCUGCUCCUUUGAAGAUACUAAAUAUAGGAAAUGUCAGUACUCCAUUGAUGUGUUUGAGUGAAUCCACAAAUUCAACGGAAAGAAAUGUAAUGUGGGGAGGAUGUGGCACAAAGAUUUUCUCCUUUUCUAAUGAUUUCACCAUUCAGAAACUCAUUGAGACAAGAACAAGCCAACUGUUUUCUUAUGCAGCUUUCAGUGAUUCCAACAUCAUAACAGUGGUGGUAGACACUGCUCUCUAUAUUGCUAAGCAAAAUAGCCCUGUUGUGGAAGUGUGGGAUAAGAAAACUGAAAAACUCUGUGAACUAAUAGACUGCGUGCACUUUUUAAGGGAGGUAACAGUAAAAGAAAACAAGGAAUCAAAACACAAAAUGUCUUAUUCUGGGAGAGUGAAAACCCUCUGCCUUCAGAAGAACACUGCUCUUUGGAUAGGAACUGGAGGAGGCCAUAUUUUACUCCUGGAUCUUUCAACUCGUCGACUUAUACGUGUAAUUUACAACUUUUGUGAUUCGGUCAGAGUCAUGAUGACAGCACAGCUAGGCAAGUUUCUUUCCUUUAGAUAUUUUUCAUAUUCUCUAAGUCUUAUAAAAUAUGCCUUUAUUUUAUGUUUAUAUUUUCUCUGAACUUUCCAGUGUCAUUUGGAUGGUCUUGGAGGGUCACACAGUGAAACAUAAGACUGGUGUAAAUUGUGAAUAGGGUCAUUACAGAAAUGGAGGGAGUAAAUGCUCUCAGUACCACAAGAGAAGCAGAUUACUGCAGCUGAACACUCAGUUUGGGUCUUACUUGCUUUUUUCCUUUUUACCUAAGGCAAAAAUGGGAAAUACAUGGUGUUGAAUAUAUUUUACUUUUUGAACAAAGAAAAUAAAGAAAUGUUUGUUUUAAUCAUAGUCUAGCCUCCCAGCUUGUUAAAGAAUCUCAUUUGGUUUUUCAUUCUAUAACAAAUCUUUACUCUUGCAGCAAUACGUGCUGAACCGCACAACCUACAAAUAUUGACAAAUCAUAUUUUACUCAAACUUUGUCUUUUUUUGCUUCUAUUUUUCUAUUUAAAUAUGAUGAAAUCAUGAUAGCACAUAAAAUAUAUUUUCUGCAUAAAUAUAUUUGUGUUUUUCUUUGAUAAUAAUUUGUUUUAGAAAGUAACAAUAAUAGCAUAAAUACAAAAGUUUACAAAAACAACACUAUGGGGUUUAAUUCUGAAAAAAACUAGAAUUUAUGUAACUUUAGCAAAUAAUGAAUGUUUUGAACAUGGUGAAGAAAAUAGAUUCAUUGUCAAGUAUGUGUGAAAGAGGAACAUGUGUUUCUAUAGCACCUUCACCUAUUUUUCAUUUAUAGACUUUAGAGUUGCACAGAAGGAGUUAGAAUUAGAUGCUCUUAAUGACUGUGAACUAUUAAGAUACAUGUCCACACAAGCAGAGCAGUAGGUCUCUCGGUCUGUCAAUAGGUUGUCUCCGUAGUCUUAUUCUACCGAAGUUGUUGCAUUCUCUAGUUGAAUUGUAUGUACUUUGGGACCCAAAUAGCUUGCUUAUAACUGAAGUUAUAGUGGAAUUUCAAUGGGUUAUAGUUUGAUUUUAAAAUAAAGAUCAAUUUGAAGAUAGCCUACAAGGUGCUGCAUGAGCUGGCUUCACUGUACCUCUCCUGCCUCCAUCAUCCACCACAUUCCUACCAGAUCUUUCUUGUCUAGAUGAACAUGCAGUUCUUCUCAAUUACUGUGCUGUAUUUUGCCUCAGGGAUUUGCACGUGCUGUUUAUUUCUUUGCUUAGUUAACGUAGCUUUUUUUCAUGCUUAGUUAACUCAUACGCUUUGAAAUGUUAGCUCCUGUGUCAAAACCUCUGAGAAGCCAACACUGAUUAGGUCAACGUUCCCACUUUGGGUUCCCAUAACAGCUUCCUUGCAUAGUUUAGAUCAUAGUCAUAUAUAUAUAUUUUUUCAUUAAUGCUAGUCUCUUCACUAGAAUAUAAACUCCAAGACGGUUGGGUUAGUGUGUUUUUGUUUACCCCUUUAUUCCCAGGAUCUAGCCUAGGGCCUACAUAGAAGACUUUUGAUGCAAAUUUGUUGAAUAAAUUAGUGAAUGAUUUGAAAAGAAAAUAUGAUAUUUUGACAUAGUAUCAGUAUAUCCAUCCAUCUAAGUGUCCAUCUAAAUACUCAUAUUUGUACCUUACCAUAUCCAAAGAACUUUUCACGCACAUUACCUCGUUUAACAUUUUAACUUUGGGAAGGGUAGUGUAUAAAUACUAAGCCUAUUUUAUAGAAAGGUUAAGCUGUUUUCUCAGACUCACAUAAUUAAGAAUUGCAGCAAGGAGUGGAUCACAGAUUUUGUUAUUUUUUAAAAAAAUGGUCUUUAUUCAAUAUAAUUGAAGGGUCACCUAGAAAAUAGAAUUGUGAAUUCAGUUCCAAGGUAUUUGUGUCUUAAACUAUGAACAACUUUACUUUUUUUUCAGGCCAGUUUAAUGUAUAGUUUUAACAGAAAACUUACGUAUUUUGUUUUGUAAAGGAAGCCUUAAAAAUGUCAUGCUGGUAUUGGGCUACAAUCGGAAAAGUACUGAAGGUACACAACAGCAGAAAGGUAACAUUUAGAAGGAUACUGUUUUCCAAACAGGGCAAUGACGUGAAUGAUGGUAACAUAUUAUGUGUUUCAUAAAUUUGUAGAAAAUAUUACAUAUGGUAUAAUCAGGAAUUUUAAUUGGUAGUUUAUAGUGUAAAGAACUUAGACAUAAAUUUUCAAAAUUACAAGUAAUACGAAGUGUUAAAUAUUUAUAUUUUCAGAUGAAGUAGAGGUGUCAAUCACUAGCUCAACCUUAAACGAGAUGUGAAUAUUUUUUACAACUUAUCUGUAUCUACAUAAUGUCUAAUUUUGAACAGUGUUUGAAAAGCUUUUAUUUCUUUUAGAAUAUGAAAUGUUAAUUUAUUAAAUGUCCAUGAUCUUCUUGAAAUUUAGUAGUUUCUAUAAUGUAUUAUAAAACUUUUCCAAGUAUAGUUUUUUAUAAAUAAUAAUUUAGUACAUUAGUUAUCACUGUGUUUAUAUUUACAUUUAUCUAAGUCAGCUAAAAAUACAUGAGCCAAACUGAAAUAAAAUAAGAAUGUUUUAUGAUGGAUCUUUGAAACAUGAUUUCAUUUUUUUCUUUUUCUAGAGAUACAAUCUUGCUUGACUGUUUGGGACAUCAAUCUUCCACAUGAAGUGCAAAAUUUAGAAAAACACAUUGAAGUGAGAAAAGAAUUAGCUGAAAAAAUGAGAGGAACAUCUGUUGAAUAAGAGAGAAAUAGGAAUUGUCUUUGGAUAGGAAAAUUAUUCUCUUCUCUUGUAAAUAUUUAUUUUAAAAAUGUUCACAUGGAAAGGGUACUCACAUUUUUUGAAAUAGCUCAUGUGUAUAAAGGAAUGUUAUUAUUUUUAAUUUAAAUAUAUGUAAAGAUACUUACCAGUAAAUGUGUAUUUUAAAGAACUAUUUAAAACACAAUGUUAUAUUUCUUAUAAAUACCAGUUACUUUUGUUCAUUAAUUAAUGAAAAUAAAUCUGUGAAGUACCUAAUUUAAGUACUUAUACUAAAAUUUAUAAGGCCAAUAAUUUUUUGUUUUCUUGUCUGUAAUGGAGGUAAACUUUAUUUUAAAUUCUGUACUUAAGACAGGACUAUUGCUUGUUGAUUUUUCUAGAAAUCUGCACGGUAUAAUGAAAAUAUUGACAGUUUCCCAUGUAAUAUAUUCCUUCUUAGAUUGCAUCGAAAUGCACUAUCAUAUAUGCUUGUAAAUAUUCAAAUGAAUUUGCACUAAUAAAGUCCUUUGUUGGUAUGUGAAUUCUCUUUGUUGCUGUUGCAAACAGUGCAUCUUAUACAACUUCACUCAAUCCAAAAGAAAACUCCAUUAAAAGUACUAAUGAAAAAACAUGACAUACUGUCAAAGUCCUCAUAUCUAGGAAAGACACAGAAACUCGCUUUGUCACAGAAACUCUCUGUGUCUUUCCUAGACAUAAUAGAGUUGUUUUUGAACUCUAUCUUUGAAUGUGGAUACCCUGAAUUUUGUAUUAGUGUAAAUACAGUGUUCAGUCCUACAAGUGAUAUUUUUAUUUUUUUAUUCAUACCACUAGCUACUUGUUUUCUAAUCUGCUUCAUUCUAAUGCUUAUAUUCAUCUUUUCCCUACAUUUGUGGUGCUGCAGAUCCUACAUCAUUCAGAUAGAAACCUUUUUUUUUUUUCAGAAUUAUAGAAUUCCACAGCUCCUACCAAGACCAUGAGGACAAAUAUCUAACACUUUUCAGUUGCUGAAGGAGAAAGGAGCUUUAGUUAUGACGGAUAAAAAUAUCUGCCACCCUAGGCUUCCAAAUUAUACUUAAAUUGUUUACAUAGCUUACCACAAUAGAAGUACCAGGGCCAAAUACCUAUGUAAUAAUUUGAGGUCAUUUCUGCUUUAGGAAAAGUACUUUUGGUAAAUUCUUUGGCCCUGACCAAUAUUCAUUAUUUCAGACAAUUCCCUGUGAUAGGACAACUAGUACAUUUAAUAUUAUCAGAACUUAUGGCAUUUUACUAUGUGAAAACUUUAAAUUUAUUUAUAUUAAGGGUAAUCAAAUUCUUAAAGAUGAAAGAUAUUCUGUAUUUUAAAGGAAGCUAUGCUUUAACUUGUUAUGUAAUUAACAAAAAAACAUAUAUAAUAGAGCUCUUUGUUCCAGUGUUAUCUCUUUCAUUGUUACUUUGUAUUUGCAUUUUUUUUUUACCAAAGACAAAUUUAAAAAAUGAAUACCGUAUUUAAAUGGAAUAAUAAAGUUUUUAA
rnacentral:sRNA from 1 species